ACUUAGGGUUUUCUUACUCUGUAAGAAGGGGCAGACCCAGCCCAGAGGAGCAACUCCAAGCUCAAGGAGAAGUGAACCCAAGAGAUAAAUAAGUGAAUAGCAGCAAUUAAAAAAACUGUGUGCUGUUCUCAGCAGGUGGCACAUUGAUGCAGGAGUGACCUGACCUGUAGGCUGUCCCACCCCAACACCAGCUGGUCAGGUGCAGGGGGUGUGAAACAGGAGCUGCCCAUCCUCUGGCCUCAAAGCCUGCAUCCUCCCUGGCUGUGGCCCUUUGCCUUUCCAAGAGUGGGACACACAGCAUUGCUGCAGAGCCCUGGGUCAUGUGAGGUCUGGCUCAUCUAAGCUGGAGCGACAAGAGGCAGCAUCAACUGGAAGUUAAUCUUCAAAAUCUCGUGAGAAAACAGGGAUGUGCAGGAGAUCAAGGAAGAGGAGGGUCUGAACUGGGAAUCCAGACCAAAAGUGUGGUGCUCCAUACUGGAGUUCAUACUGUCCUGUGGGAUCCCCUCCACCAGGCAAGACCAAAAAGUCCAGCAUCUUAUCUUUUGCUAAAAGUCUCAAGGAAGGGAUUUAAAAGCGUUGGCAUGACACCCACGAGGUGAGAGAGGAGAGCUGGUCCUCUGCUCCAUGAUUUCCAGACCCACACUCCCAACUCCAGUGAACAAAGCUGGGAUGCCAGAUCCAUCUGCACAGUGAAAGCAGGAGAUACUCCAGAGCACCAAUACCUCCUUGCCAAAGUACAUUUAAACAACUGGACCUUGGUGGAGGAGAAAAAUCAGGAGACUUUCAUGAGAGAGUUUUCAAAAAACAACAUAAAAAUGGCAUCUCCUUGUUAACCAAGAGAAGCAGAAGGAGCAUCUGUCAGACUGUGAGGUACAGGUCAUGGGUUUACAGACAUCUGAUGUGGAAAAUGGAAACUUGUACCUCAUCACGCGGGCAGUGGAUGCAGCGCAGCUCCCUGGCACACUCGCCCAUGGAUGCAUCUGCAGAGCAGUGAGCAUUCUCUGCCAAAGGCUUCAUUCACAGCAUUACAGGGUGUUGGACCCACCUCAUGGAGACUGCAGAAAAGUCCACCUUCAGUUCUUACAGCUCUUGGGCAGCCCAGUCCAUCAGCCUACCUUGUCCAAACCCUGGCAUUCAUCCCAGACAGGCUAAAGAAAUGCUUGGAUUUUUCAGUGUCCCAGCUUCUCUUGGUAGAGGCAGAGACAGAUUUCUGUAUGCACAAAAUCUCCACUUCAGGGGACAGGUCUGGCCCUUCACCACUUGAAAGCAGAAUAACUCAAGAGUCACAGAGAUAGAGAAGGACACCUUGUGUGACACCCCCAGUGCUGAUCCACCCCCACACUUUGAGACCCUUUUCAUUUAGUCCUUGGCCUGGAAAGUAAAUGUUUCUCUUUCUUCAUCAAGUUCAGGGAUGCUUCCUAGUGGUUUCAUGCUCAGCCUUAUGUUUUGUAAAACUCACUGCAUUUUAAUUCAUGUUUCUUUCCUUGUCUACAGCAGCCUUUCCCCUCCUCCUCUAUGGCCCCAGUGUGCUGAUGCCACUUUGACAAAAGAAGUGUAAGCACAUCUCCAUCACCUUGUUCUGCUGUAACCUUAUAAUCCUGGCUCUGACUCACUGUCACACUCAAGUGUCUUCUCCCAAAGCACAGGAAGAAACCCUCUUGGUCCCCAGUGCCUUGUGAUGCAGGGCUUUGCAUAAGGAAGCACAAUGAGUGCUUUAUGAGUAGCUUGCCUCGCUGUGUCUCCAUGUCACUGUCUUUGAAUUAUCACUUUCAUAAAACAUAUUGAUGUCUGCCCACGAAAAAGAUCGUAGGUAAGGGAGGAAGAACCACUGUCAACUUUCCUGCAGUUCUGGGAGGAGCAAGGAGCUAUCUGAAGUGAGUUUAUGUUCCAAGGUGGGGGCUGGUUUCCCUCUGGGACAGUAAAAAUGCAUAUUCAACAAGAUCAACUGUCUAACUCAUGGUUUUAUUAUUAAAUUACAGACCCUGAAGAACUCAAAAUAAAAA